ensembl:misc_RNA Metazoa_SRP Metazoan signal recognition particle RNA
GCUGGGUGUGGUGGUGCACACCUGUAAUCCCGGCUACUCAGGAGGCUGAGGCGGGAGAAUCACUUGAACCCAGGAGAUGGAGGCUGCAGUGAGCUGAGAUCACGCCACUGCACUCCAGCCUGGGUGACAGAGCUAGACUCUGUCUCUA